CAGCCGCCACGGUAGUACGUAGGUGGCAAGCGUUAUCCGGAAUUAUUGGGCGUAAAGGGCUCGCAGGCGGUUUCUUAAGUCUGAUGUGAAAGCCCCCGGCUCAACCGGGGAGGGUCAUUGGAAACUGGGAAACUUGAGUGCAGAAGAGGAGAGUGGAAUUCCACGUGUAGCGGUGAAAUGCGUAGAGAUGUGGAGGAACACCAGUGGCGAAGGCGACUCUCUGGUCUGUAACUGACGCUGAGGAGCGAAAGCGUGGGGAGCGAACAGGAUUAGAUACCCCGGUAGUCCCUGUCUCUUAUAC
rnacentral:rRNA from 1 species